GUGAGUCAUGUUUGCCUAUGGAGGCUGGAACAGGAAAGACACCCACAGGGCAAGGGGAGCAAUGCAGGGGUGGGCGGGCAGCAUGCAGACCUGCUGAUUAAAACUUCACCUCAAGUGAGCUCAUUUGGGCUGAACUGGACUCCGGUCCACGGAAGAUACCACCCACGUUCAGGACGAGUAUCCUUCCUCAGCUGUGGGAGGUGUUCGUCAUCGGUGCCCCGCCCACUCUACACACGAGGAUCUGAGGGUUCCAGACUCCCAAACACACGUGCUAACAUGACGAAGCUGCAGCCUGGGAAGCAGGCUUUCUUCCCAAGUCCACGGUGAACAAGAGGCAGACCUUCUCCGUCCUCGUCCACAUGCUACACAACUGCACACUGGAGGAGCCCAGUAAGCGCCAAAGGCAAGUCAGCUCUCAGAUGGAGAAACGGCCCUUGAACAGUUGGCAGUACACCAAGAAGAAGGUGUGUGGUUUGGAUAUUGAGUUGUCCUAUCUACAUCAUGUAGCUAGCUCUCAUUGAGCAGUGCCAACCAAG
rnacentral:lncRNA from 1 species